rnacentral:rRNA from 1 species
CCUACGGGGGGCAGCAGUGGGGGAUAUUGGACAAUGGGGGAAACCCUGAUCCAGCGACGCCGCGUGAGUGAAGAAGUAUUUCGGGAUGUAAAGCUCUAUCAGCAGGGAAGAAAGAAAUGACGGUACCUGAGUAAGAAGCCCCGGCUAACUACGUGCCAGCAGCCGCGGUAAUACGUAGGGGGCAAGCGUUAUCCGGAUUUACUGGGUGUAAAGGGAGCGUAGACGGCCGCGCAAGUCUGGAGUGAAAUGCCGGGGCCCAACCCCGGAACUGCACUGGAUACUGUGAAGCUUGAGUGCAGGAGAGGUAGGCGGAAUUCCUGGUGUAGCGGUGAAAUGCGUAGAUAUCAGGAGGAACACCGGCGGCGAAGGCGGCCUACUGGACUGUAACUGACGCUGAGGCUCGAAGGCGUGGGGAGCAAACAGGAUUAGAUACCCCAGUAGUC